rnacentral:rRNA from 1 species
ACCUAUAGCCAUGCCAUCCUGAACAAGCCCGAUCCCGUCUGAUCUCGGAAGCUAAGCAGGGUCGGGCCUGGUUAGUACUUGGAUGGGAGACCACCUAGGAAGACCAGGUGCUGUAGGUG